rnacentral:snRNA from 1 species
GUGUUCACUUCAGCAGCACAUAUGCUAAAAUCAGAAUGCUAUAGAGAAGAUAGGCGUGACCCCUACGCAACGAGGUCAUGCAAAUUUAUGAAGUGUUUCAUAUUUUA